CUUAAUGUGUUUUCAUUGUGAAUCUAACGAUAUGCAAACUCAAGCUUUCAAAAUAGAUGUCUCUUCCACGUUUCAACAGGCCAAAAUGCUAGGCAAACUCUGCUUUUUUCAUUAUUUUAACAGUUAUUGGAAAAGUUCACUUUGGACAUGUGAUUUUUCUAACACUUAUUGCCAUCCUCACAGAGGAUUCAUUUUGUAUAGCCUUGUGUCUAGCUUCAAUACAAAACAAAUGCUGACCUAAAUAAUGAAAGCUUCCAUUCACAGGGCUCUUGGGAGAUGCUGUGUGCUGUGCUGCAUGUUUUGCAACGAGCUGAUCUUCUCAUCAAUCCGGUAAGGGCUUGAGCAAUUCACUUUCCCUCCCUGAGUCUUGGUGACCUGUGCUGUGAAAUAGAGAGAGACACCUACCACCUGCUGUCAGAGCCCAUCAAGGAUGAAGCUGUCUCAGAGGAGGGCAGAGCUCAGAAAACUGAACAGAAACACGGUCAGACUCCUGAUGAAACAGCACAUGAACUUCAUCCAACGUCUGGACUCUUCCUCAGUUACAGAAGCUAUAGAAGAAGCUGAAUUCACAUUGGGUUUGCCAUGGUAUGAGAAAGAGACAGACCAUUACAAACCACAGCCCGAGAGGCAGGGAAGGCCAGGAAAAUAUAAACCACCUGGGAAGAAGCAGAGAUCAAGGAGAGGACGUUGGAUUUCCACAGGCCAUGAGGUAUAGGAUGGAAGGUGUUUCUUAGACAAUUUUAUAUUUCAUAUAGAUCUAUUGCAACCAUUACAAUC